AGAAUUUCAUUCUCUAUUCUUCUUUUAUUUCUUCUUCUCCCUCUGCUAUUCUUCUUCUUCUUCUGCGUGUGUAUGAGAAAUUAAAAGGGAUCUUUUCAAUCGGAAGGAGGUGGAUAAGAUCAUGGAGUAGAUGAUAGUGAUGGUGUCUUUGUUUGUUGUUGAUUCAGACUCGAAGGAGGAAUUGAAUUAGAAGUUAGGGUUUAUACAAAAAGCUCAGCGAAGAAUUAAGAGAUGAAAUUGGUGUUCUAGGAGCAUGAAUUGAGAUGGGUUUAUGUCUAAUUGAGUGAUAUGAAGUUUUUUCGAUGUCUAAUUGAGUGAUAUGAAAUUCAGAGAGGCUGUAGAAGAUGAAUUUGAAGCUGUGGAAGAUUAAUUGCAUGAAUUACAGUAUUGAGUGAAGCAGGGUUGUGCUAGCAGUGAAGAUUGAUUCAAUUGAAGAAUCGGGGUUUGUGAAGUGGGUGAACAGAAGAAUCAAAGGAAAUAGAUGAUGGGUAAGCUUGGUUGGAGGUUAUGGUGAAUCUGAGAUGAAGAAGAACAACAAUUGAAAGAUGAUACUGGGAGUUAGGGUUUCAUAAGAAGCAACUCAGUGAAGCAAUUCAGAGGAUAUAGAACCUGGGUAAGUUGUUAAAUUUCUUUAAUUAUGAUACUAUAAGAAUGGAUGGUUAAAUUGUUGAUUUAAGAUGCUGCUGAGUGAAAUUGAGUUUAAGAUGAUUAUAGAGUAUAUGAAUGUGCUGAUAUGAGAAUAAAGUUAAAGAACUAUAAUGAUGAGAUUUGGGGAAACUGUAGGCUUGAGAGGGUUCUAUACUAGCUGUGAUUGUUGUUGCUGUGUUGAAUGGCCUGAGUUUGAGAUGCAAUGGCUAAGCAGUGCAUUAACUGAUUGCUAGUGAUGUUUGUUAUUGUGGAGACGAUGUUACUGUUGUAGUAUUGUGGAUUGCAAAGGAGUUAGAGCCUAUUGCUGAACUGUUAUUGAUGUUGUUACAUGAAAUGCUUUGGUGGAGUGGUUAUUGAGUUGAAGUGAAUAUUAACUAGUAUUGCAGGCGGAAUGGGAAAGAUAAGUAGAGGUGUUGCUGAGAUGGAGUUGGCAAUGUCACUGUAAUUGGUGCAAAUGAUUUGGCAGUAUUGAAUGAGAUGAUAUUGUGAUUGAAGUUAUAAAGAGGAUUAGAUAAAUGUGUUGAGUUGAAUCUCUAAAGGAAAGCUUGUAGCUACUGCAAUUGCAGUUAGUCUUUAUUAACAACGAUCGAUUCAAAGGAUGAACCAGUGGAUCGUGGAUCUCGAGGUAGGCGUGGCUUUUCAUCAAAAGAGGAUCACAAGCAUGUCGUUCAUCUUAUGAAGCCUGGAACGUCAGUGUGUAAGAUGAGGCAAUGGCCACUUCUAGCUGAUGAAUUAAGCAGGGGAGAAGUUUCGGAAGUGGUCGAUCUAGUCAAUUAUACGGGGUUGCUUUCUGUGGUCGACAAUUUGGGCCACCUUACUUACAAUAGACAUCUUUGUUCCGCCCUUUCCGAGAGAUAUUACGGGGAAAUAGAUACUUUACAUCUUCCGUUUGUUAUGGACCUAAUGGUGCAUAGGAACCGGCCCGAGAGGAAGAAUAUAUGAAUCUUAAAGCUUACGUUUGAUUAGAUUCGAACUUUAGGUCCUGAUCAGAUGCAGGCUCACUUGACUUGACCAUCAUCCAAUUGACCGAUUCACUUUACACGUGGUAACUCAGUUAUGCUUAAGAUCCACCAAAUAGCAGUAAUUUCUGCCGCCGUAAAUCUCAAUCUCUUCGGCAUCAUUCAUGGGGUUUUUUGAUGAACCGAAUCUAGGUUUGAUGUUGCUUUCUUCCUGGAGAUCAAAGAUGGAUUUUGAUCCAUUGAUUUCCAUAAUAAUAAAAUCUCCUCUCAAAUGUGCAAGUAAAAUUAGUUUAUUUUUAUAUCUUGAUUUUCAAUUCCAUUCCGAUAAUUUGAAUCUGAGAGUUAUUUUUAGUUUUUUUCAAUUUGAUUUUAGUGACUGUCGCACUAAUUUGAUUCAACUCCUCCUUAUUGAUUUGUUGUUGCCAUU